rnacentral:misc_RNA from 1 species
CUUUAUGCGAAUGGAUGUAGGUCAUUUCCAGAUUUCAGUAUGGAUGAUUGGACACACGAAGAAGAUCUUUAUGAUCUAAGCUAUUCGGAAAUGGCCUUUGGAGUUCAAUGGUGUCCUUUUGGCAGCUUAGCUCGACUUCCUUCUUCGUUUGAGGAUGGUGACUUUUCCUCAACUGCUUAUCAUGACCUUUUGGGACAACAUGCUAUUUUCGCGGAG